rnacentral:tRNA from 1 species
UCUAAAGUGGCAGAAACCACUAUGCGGUGAAUUUAAGAUUUACAUAUAAAUACAUAUAUUUCUUUAGAA